rnacentral:rRNA from 1 species
UACGUAGGGUGCGAGCGUUGUCCGGAAUUAUUGGGCGUAAAGAGCUUGUAGGCGGUCUGUCGCGUCUGCUGUGAAAAUCCGGGGCUCAACCCCCGGACUUGCAGUGGGUACGGGCAGACUAGAGUGUGGUAGGGGAGACUGGAAUUCCUGGUGUAGCGGUGAAAUGCGCAGAUAUCAGGAGGAACACCGAUGGCGAAGGCAGGUCUCUGGGCCACUACUGA